rnacentral:rRNA from 1 species
GAUUAAGUUAUUAAGGGCGCACGGUGGAUGCCUUGGCACUAGAAGCCGAUGAAGGACGUUACUAACGACGAUAUGCUUUGGGGAGCUGUAAGUAAGCUUUGAUCCAGAGAUUUCCGAAUGGGGAAACCCAGCAUGAGUUAUGUCAUGUUAUCGAUAUGUGAAUACAUAGCAUAUCAGAAGGCACACCCGGAGAACUGAAACAUCUUAGUACCCGGAGGAAGAGAAAGAAAAUUCGAUUCCCUUAGUAGCGGCGAGCGAAACGGGAAGAGCCCAAACUAACAAGCUUGCUUGUUGGGGUUGUAGGACACUCUAUACGGAGUUACAAAGGACGACAUUAGACGAAUCAACUGGAAAGAUGAAUCAAAGAAGGUAAUAAUCCUGUAGUCGAAAAUGUUGUCUCUCUUGAGUGGAUCCUGAGUACGACGGAGCACGUGAAAUUCCGUCGGAAUCUGGGAGGACCAUCUCCUAAGGCUAAAUACUCUCUAGUGACCGAUAGUGAACCAGUACCGUGAGGGAAAGGUGAAAAGAACCCCGGAAGGGGAGUGAAAUAGAACCUGAAACCGUGUGCUUACAAGUAGUCAGAGCCCGUUAAUGGGUGAUGGCGUGCCUUUUGUAGAAUGAACCGGCGAGUUACGAUUUGAUGCAAGGUUAAGCAGUAAAUGUGGAGCCGUAGCGAAAGCGAGUCUGAAUAGGGCGUUUAGUAUUUGGUCGUAGACCCGAAACCAGGUGAUCUACCCUUGGUCAGGUUGAAGUUCAGGUAACACUGAAUGGAGGACCGAACCGACUUACGUUGAAAAGUGAGCGGAUGAACUGAGGGUAGCGGAGAAAUUCCAAUCGAACCUGGAGAUAGCUGGUUCUCUCCGAAAUAGCUUUAGGGCUAGCCUCAAGUGAUGAUUAUUGGAGGUAGAGCACUGUUUGGACGAGGGGCCCCUCUCGGGUUACCGAAUUCAGACAAACUCCGAAUGCCAAUUAAUUUAACUUGGGAGUCAGAACAUGGGUGAUAAGGUCCGUGUUCGAAAGGGAAACAGCCCAGACCACCAGCUAAGGUCCCAAAAUAUAUGUUAAGUGGAAAAGGAUGUGGCGUUGCCCAGACAACUAGGAUGUUGGCUUAGAAGCAGCCAUCAUUUAAAGAGUGCGUAAUAGCUCACUAGUCGAGUGACACUGCGCCGAAAAUGUACCGGGGCUAAACAUAUUACCGAAGCUGUGGAUUGUCCUUUGGACAAUGGUAGGAGAGCGUUCUAAGGGCGUUGAAGCAUGAUCGCAAGGACAUGUGGAGCGCUUAGAAGUGAGAAUGCCGGUGUGAGUAGCGAAAGACGGGUGAGAAUCCCGUCCACCGAUUGACUAAGGUUUCCAGAGGAAGGCUCGUCCGCUCUGGGUUAGUCGGGUCCUAAGCUGAGGCCGACAGGCGUAGGCGAUGGAUAACAGGUUGAUAUUCCUGUACCACCUAUAAUCGUUUUAAUCGAUGGGGGGACGCAGUAGGAUAGGCGAAGCGUGCGAUUGGAUUGCACGUCUAAGCAGUAAGGCUGAGUAUUAGGCAAAUCCGGUACUCGUUAAGGCUGAGCUGUGAUGGGGAGAAGACAUUGUGUCUUCGAGUCGUUGAUUUCACACUGCCGAGAAAAGCCUCUAGAUAGAAAAUAGGUGCCCGUACCGCAAACCGACACAGGUAGUCAAGAUGAGAAUUCUAAGGUGAGCGAGCGAACUCUCGUUAAGGAACUCGGCAAAAUGACCCCGUAACUUCGGGAGAAGGGGUGCUCUUUAGGGUUAACGCCCAGAAGAGCCGCAGUGAAUAGGCCCAAGCGACUGUUUAUCAAAAACACAGGUCUCUGCUAAACCGUAAGGUGAUGUAUAGGGGCUGACGCCUGCCCGGUGCUGGAAGGUUAAGAGGAGUGGUUAGCUUCUGCGAAGCUACGAAUCGAAGCCCCAGUAAACGGCGGCCGUAACUAUAACGGUCCUAAGGUAGCGAAAUUCCUUGUCGGGUAAGUUCCGACCCGCACGAAAGGCGUAACGAUUUGGGCACUGUCUCAACGAGAGACUCGGUGAAAUCAUAGUACCUGUGAAGAUGCAGGUUACCCGCGACAGGACGGAAAGACCCCGUGGAGCUUUACUGUAGCCUGAUAUUGAAAUUCGGCACAGCUUGUACAGGAUAGGUAGGAGCCUUUGAAACGUGAGCGCUAGCUUACGUGGAGGCGCUGGUGGGAUACUACCCUAGCUGUGUUGGCUUUCUAACCCGCACCACUUAUCGUGGUGGGAGACAGUGUCAGGCGGGCAGUUUGACUGGGGCGGUCGCCUCCUAAAAGGUAACGGAGGCGCUCAAAGGUUCCCUCAGAAUGGUUGGAAAUCAUUCAUAGAGUGUAAAGGCAUAAGGGAGCUUGACUGCGAGACCUACAAGUCGAGCAGGGUCGAAAGACGGACUUAGUGAUCCGGUGGUUCCGCAUGGAAGGGCCAUCGCUCAACGGAUAAAAGCUACCCCGGGGAUAACAGGCUUAUCUCCCCCAAGAGUUCACAUCGACGGGGAGGUUUGGCACCUCGAUGUCGGCUCAUCGCAUCCUGGGGCUGUAGUCGGUCCCAAGGGUUGGGCUGUUCGCCCAUUAAAGCGGUACGCGAGCUGGGUUCAGAACGUCGUGAGACAGUUCGGUCCCUAUCCGUCGUGGGCGUAGGAAAUUUGAGAGGAGCUGUCCUUAGUACGAGAGGACCGGGAUGGACAUACCUCUGGUGUACCAGUUGUCGUGCCAACGGCAUAGCUGGGUAGCUAUGUGUGGACGGGAUAAGUGCUGAAAGCAUCUAAGCAUGAAGCCCCCUCAAGAUGAGAUUUCCCAACUUCGGUUAUAAGAUCCCUCAAAGAUGAUGAGGUUAAUAGGUUCGAGGUGGAAGCAUGGUGACAUGUGGAGCUGACGAAUACUAAUCGAUCGAAGACUUAAUCAA